GGCUCAGAUUGAACGCUGGCGGCAGGCUUAACACAUGCAAGUCGAGCGGGGAAGGGUAGCUUGCUACCUGACCUAGCGGCGGACGGGUGAGUAAUGCUUAGGAAUCUGCCUAUUAGUGGGGGACAACAUUCCGAAAGGAAUGCUAAUACCGCAUACGCCCUACGGGGGAAAGCAGGGGAUCUUCGGACCUUGCGCUAAUAGAUGAGCCUAAGUCAGAUUAGCUAGUUGGUGGGGUAAAGGCCUACCAAGGCGACGAUCUGUAGCGGGUCUGAGAGGAUGAUCCGCCACACUGGGACUGAGACACGGCCCAGACUCCUACGGGAGGCAGCAGUGGGGAAUAUUGGACAAUGGGCGCAAGCCUGAUCCAGCCAUGCCGCGUGUGUGAAGAAGGCCUUUUGGUUGUAAAGCACUUUAAGCGAGGAGGAGGCUACCGAGAUUAAUACUCUUGGAUAGUGGACGUUACUCGCAGAAUAAGCACCGGCUAACUCUGUGCCAGCAGCCGCGGUAAUACAGAGGGUGCGAGCGUUAAUCGGAUUUACUGGGCGUAAAGCGUGCGUAGGCGGCUUUUUAAGUCGGAUGUGAAAUCCCUGAGCUUAACUUAGGAAUUGCAUUCGAUACUGGGAAGCUAGAGUAUGGGAGAGGAUGGUAGAAUUCCAGGUGUAGCGGUGAAAUGCGUAGAGAUCUGGAGGAAUACCGAUGGCGAAGGCAGCCAUCUGGCCUAAUACUGACGCUGAGGUACGAAAGCAUGGGGAGCAAACAGGAUUAGAUACCCUGGUAGUCCAUGCCGUAAACGAUGUCUACUAGCCGUUGGGGCCUUUGAGGCUUUAGUGGCGCAGCUAACGCGAUAAGUAGACCGCCUGGGGAGUACGGUCGCAAGACUAAAACUCAAAUGAAUUGACGGGGGCCCGCACAAGCGGUGGAGCAUGUGGUUUAAUUCGAUGCAACGCGAAGAACCUUACCUGGUCUUGACAUAGUAAGAACUUUCCAGAGAUGGAUUGGUGCCUUCGGGAACUUACAUACAGGUGCUGCAUGGCUGUCGUCAGCUCGG
rnacentral:rRNA from 1 species